AGGGAUCAUACUUGGCUUCCGCGCCCGCCUUCCGAUCGACGAGGAAAGCGCUUCGUUUUCUGUUUGUUCUCCCCCGGCGGCGCCUGUGACCGGAGAGGUAGCGGCUUGGCCGAGAUGGACUUCUAACUUUCUUCUUUGAACAGCACAACAGCCCUUUCCCUCAUGCCAUAGAAACAACAAUCCAUAAUCUACUGAAAUGAAAAACUGAUCUGCCAUUCAGUCUGGGGAGCAGCUCCUGUCCCCAUUAUAUAAAAGGUAUGUUAAUUACACAAAGCUGAUAGCAUGGAUUUUUGCAUGACAGCCGAAAUGCUGAAAACAACUUUCAGCUGAAAUCUUGGAUUUGAGGCAGAAAAGCCAAACUAUUUGAUUGUGUAUAGCCUUUACAUACAAAAAAAUCAGUUUUCUUUUUUUUAAAAAAAAUCGAAGUUUUGCAAAAUAGCAAGUAAGAACACACACAUUUUAAAAACAUAACUAUAAAACACAAUACAUUAGGUAACUGGUAAUUUGCUGCCAUUUACUAGUGGUACCCCAAAUAUGCUUUGCCUACAAAGUUCCAUUACUUUGUCAUAUAGUACUUUAUAUGAAGAACUAUUAAGUGUAGAUAAUAGACAAGGCUUUAUUGCAUGUUAAAUAGAUUCAGGGCCAAACAAAGCAUGUAGCCUUGAGCACUGUGAGUCUUACCCCCACAUGCUGAAGCCAGCACAGUGGACCAAUAUAAGAGCAGGGUAAUCUUGGCUCAGGAUCCUUCCCUCUGUUGUGAAUUUUUUCCUAUGCAGUAGGAAACCUGGGCACUAAGAACUGGAUCGCAACCAUUUGGAAUACAUACAAAUGUUCUACUUUCCAAAAUAUACAUUAAUUUUAAAAACUCAUAGUGUAAAGAGAUUUUUUUUAAAAAAAUGAAAUAUCUCAAAAUUUGUAUGUGUGGAACAAGUAAACUGCCCAAAUCUGCAAGUUUUCUUUUACAGUUCUUAGGCUCCAAUCCAGCUAAAAUUAAUUAUGAAUAAGACAAAUAGAAAAAUUACUUGUUAUGGCCAAUUAAAGUCUUAUUCAUGAAGACCCAUUGAAACCAUUCACUUAAAUUCUAAGAAAGGACUGAAGUCAAUAAAUUUCAGGGGGUCUACUCUGAGUUUAAGUUGGAUACAACUCAUUAGUUUUAUACUGAUGAGAACAUAUUUUCCCAAACAUUACAAUGAUACUAUCUAGCUGUGCUUUGUACACUUAAAGGCCUGUUAAGUCUGCCAUUCAGUUUUAUAUCAGUUGUUGUAGACACUUGGCAUUCUUCCAAGAAGUAACAAAGAUAACUGUUCAUCAACUUGGAUAUGCACACACCAAGCUGAUACUUCCUCUGUGAGAUUAUGCUAGAUCUCACAUAAUGCACUGAGCUGUUAAAGUACUUUAAAACAUAGCCCACCAGGUACCAAUAUUUUACUUUUUACUUGCCUUGUCAUUAGAAAAAUACCUACCGGUAUUUAUUUUGUAAAAAAAUCCUAUUUAAACCAAGCUUUCUUGAGAAGAGAAACAACUAAAGGAAUUUCUAUCCUUUUAAAAUCCAGUUAAAAGGGGGAUAGGGGAAAAAAAUCACAUUUACUUUAAACAAAAGUUAUUUUGUCCCAACAGGCAUGACAAAACCUGUCUUCAUUCCUUUCUAUUCAGCUCAGCCAGUACACUACAGUACUUAGGUUCAGUAAGUUAAUCAGUUACCAGAUUCUAUAGCCUUUGUUUUCAAAGUCUAAUUCUUAUUUGACAUUGUACCUGGGAAUAUACUGAGAUCUAUAUCCCUUGGUUUUAAACAGAUCAUAAAGGUGGGUCUACAGUUUUGGUAAUCCUUCUAAUUUUGGAUAGCCUCUUGUAUUUGUUAUUUAAAGCAAAUGAGGACUUGACCUUUUAAUAUGCAGCAUAUAAAUUAUGGCUAUGCCAUAUCAAACUUUGAAAAGAUCAUUUUAUGUGCUAAAAAUAUUAAAUUAUUUAGGGGGUUGGCAGUGGAAAGUAAAAUACAAUUUUAGCAUAUGCAUAGCAUUUACCGUAUCAUAUUUCCAUUGUGAGAUUAUUGUGUUUACCACAUAUUCCGCACACAGAAGCUAAGACAGAAGUAAGAGAUUUGCCAUAAUUUAUGUAGCAGAUCAGUGGCAACACUAUUAUUAGGCCUUUCCCCCACCUCUGUUUUGUUCACUAACCUACAGUUCUAACUAUGCCUACUUAAUGAAGAAUCAUCACUAAAAGGAACUGCAAAAUGAUGUCACCAGUAGCCAUAUAUGAUACAGCAAAACAGUAAUACUUUUUUAAAAAAACAACACAGAAAAUACGCAUUUACACUGCAUAAGAAAAUUUAAAAUAUGUGAUAGGACUACACAGAAUGCAUAAUAAAGGGAGAUUUUAAAAACUUACCUUUCGGUGGUGAUUGUGAAAGGUUAAUGUGACUUUGCUUUUGAUCAGGAGUGGUGAUUAUUUAUUGUUAGCUUUUCCCUGAGCUUAUAAGCAUCAAGCACAUGUAGGAUGAGAGAGCCACUGUGGACCACAGUGCAGAAUGCUGAGAGAGGUUCUGCUGCACCUAAGAUAUAUACAAUGUGCAAUGGAUAACCUAAUAUGUCUUUCAUUUAACUGGCUGGGCAGGUUUCUGCAUUCUCUGGGACAUGGAAUCAUACCAGAAUUUGUUGGCAUAACAGGCCUGUCAAACCAGUUCCUUGGUAGAACAGGAACCUGUUCAGCCAGUAUGCAUCAAAGGGCAGCUCAACAUGCUGCGGCUCAACUUAACUCUGAAGCUUCAUAAGUGGUGAAUUAUUCACGCCUCCACCAACUCCCAACUUAGAAUGUUGUAGCCUCCAGCAAAACAAUUUACCAGAGGGUUGGGGAGUGCUGUAUCCGUAUCAAAUACAGCAAUAUCCUAUUGUUGCAAAGUCUUCAUUAUUACAUAUCUAGAUGUGGUUGAUAGAUUGGCGUUUCAUUUAUGAAUGGGAAGAUAGGCAAGUAUACACUUUGAAACAAACCAUAAAAAUUGUCCCGUCCCCCCCAAUUAAAUGAGAUUUAAACAUUACAAAUGGUCAAAACAAAAGCUGGGACCCAAUACAAAACUAUUUCUUUUUUAGUUGUGGGUAGCGAAUACUCCAUUAAGUAGUGGAAGAGGAGUUAUUCUGUUGCACAUGUGAUUAAAGUGUAGGUAGCACAACACCAGGGUACUUUUUGGAGUUGUGUUUCGUAUGAUCUGCUUUGGUACGGAAGGUGUGUACAGGAGAGGCAGGUCAGAAGAGAUAUGUGUUUAAACAAGUAAAACGCAGUAGCGAAAUCUGUUGAAACAUCAUUUGCUGACAGUGAGAUAUUCCUAAUUCCUAUCCGGCUACAGUCUAUUGAAGGUUUUAAAAAGCAGUUAUACUUUUACAUUUUUGUUUAUUCUUUUCUGAAAUAAAAAAUGAAUAACAAAUAAGAAAAUAAUGAAAAUAUUUCAGAUGAAAAUAAACAGGUGUGUGACAAUUAGAAUGUGCAUAGCAUUAUAAUACAGUUACACUUUAUAUGGUUUAUAGCCUUGUAGAGUUAGUAAAGAACCGGACUCUAACCAAAUCCUAUGUUCUUAUUGAUCUGUAUAAUCAGCAUUUUUCACAGUGGCAGCAUGACUUCCAGUGAUUCCUAGAACGUUUUAUUGUUACAUAAGGCCUUUUCAGGCUAUUAAUUCACUGAGCAACUACAGUAAUGCACUGUAGUUGAUUGUUAAAUAGUAUCCAGAUGUCUUCACUGAAGAAACCAGACCUUUGGCUUGCAUGGGCAAAAUCUUUCCUAGUAUACCAAAGCUGACCCAAGACAUUUUGCUGCCUGAGGUAAAGGACAAGAUGGUAACCCCAUCUUAGUGAGGGUAGCAGGCUACCUGAGGGUUGGCAUCCCCAGUGCAGUGUUUGGGGGUACUGAGGUGCUCAGAAAAUUAUACCAAGGCAUGCGCCAUGCUCUCCAUUCCUCACUGUGCUCGACUGACAGAGCAUGCAGAAGCAGUUGUACUUUCUCCUUGCUAGCAGACCAUGUUUUCCGCUGAGGCCCUCCUACCGUGUUCUAACUGGACACCAGCAGACACCAAGAAAGGAAGAGGAAGAAAGAAAGGUAAGGAGGAAGGGGGAGCAAAAAACAGAGAAGCCAUAAAGAUUGGGAGGGGUCCACCCCUUCAAAAAAUAAAAAUAAAAAACCAGAAUAACCAUGAAGGGAAAGAUAGGGAGGGAGAUGGAGCACCCAUGAAGGGAGAAAUGGGAGGCAAAAGCAAAGAAACACCUGGUACGCAUGACUGAAGAACUGGAGGGAACAAAAACAAAAACGACCAUGAGAGGAAAGAUGAAGGGAACAAACACACACACACACACAAGCAGCCAUUUUGCUUGAAUGAACUGUUACUUCAUGCUUUAGGCACUAGGCACCAGGCAUUCCUCUUCAACUAGGCUUUUAAAAUAGGUUUACUGGUAUUUGUGUUUUGCUUUGGGAGGCGCGCGCUACUUUAUGUAUUUUGUGUUUUCACUUUGUAUUUUUAUGCCCCGUGGUCUUUCAAUGAAGGGCAAUAUAUAAAUUUAAUUAUAAUUAUUAAAUUAAUUAAAUAAAAUAAUAACAAUGAUACCCCAGGGAUAUGCUGAUAGACGUUUGAAAGGGCUGGGAAGAUUUUUUCCCCUGCCAUCCAAAUUGGCCGGAGGUAGAAAGGGUAGCCUCUAGUUUAAGCUUCAGUUUGUCACUUAAGAUGAAGUAGUUGAUACUUCUUCAACAUAGUGCAUGAUUUAAAGGACUGAUGCCACAAUAGGCACUUACCGUAGUACACAGGGGGGUGGGGGGCUAGGUAAAGUUCAUAUGUUGUUGUUGGCAUCUGUCUUGGGAGGCAAUGGAGCAGUGCACCUUUGGGGGUGAAGUCAAACUGUUGGAAGGUUGCAGCUGGUAAAGGCUUCCGGUUUUGCUUCCGGUCCAGACCAAAGGGCAACAACACAAUAUGCAUCUAAGGACCCUGAGCCACCAGUCUACUCAUAAGUAACCAAUCCCUGCUACUCCUUCAUGGCCAUAGGAGCCAGCUCCUAGUGGCUAAGGUCCUUUCGCCCCCCCUAAAAUAUUUGAGGGUGAUGCCCCCCCAAGUUGAUAGGCAUUGCCAUUAAAAUGGGGUGUGUGUGUACCACAUCAUGUAAUUGAUUAUGCAGGAUGGUGUUUACCUGCCCCCCCACCCCAAUAUUUUAUUCAAGUUGGUACCCCAUGGCCAACAGCUGUGGUUAGGAAGUUGUUUAGGAAGUUAGAGUCUAUAAGGCUCUUGUGCCUUCCAUUUGUUGGAAGCAACACAGGUAUAUACUAUACCCUUGCUGUGCUUUAUCUUGCCUGAACUUUGUGAUGUUGAUGUUGGACAAUUACCUGACUUUGUCUCUGGAUCACAUUGAUACCUAGACUCUCUUGGCUUGACUUACUUGGUUGGGACUGGGCUACAUCUCCAACCCAGCUCCAUUGGAAGAGUCCCCUUCUCAAAAAAAGAAGAAAGAAGAGAAAGGAAAAAAACACUCAAGGUUUAGUAUUUAAAAACAUUAUUAUUAAGGUUCAUUAUUGUUUCUCUAUAUCUUUCAUUUUCAACUGGUGGCUUGGGACCCACCACUGGGUUGUGACCUGAUGUAAGGUGGGUUGCAACAGCAGCCCUACCACCAUACAAAUGUAUGGUAAAGGUAAAGGUAAAGGGACCCCUGACCAUUAGGUCCAGUCGUGACCGACUCUGGGGUUGCGGUGCUCAUCUCGCGCUAUUGGCCGAUUGAGCUUCCAGGUCAUGUGGCCAGCAUGACAAAGCCGCUUCUGGCGAACCAGAGCAGCGCACGGAAAUGCCGUUUACCUUCCCCCCUAUUUAUCUACUUGCACUUUGACGUGCUUUCGAACUGCUAGGUUGGCAGGAGCUGGGAGCAACGGGAGCUCACCCCGGCGCGGGGAUUUGAACCGCUGACUUUCUGAUCGGCAAGACCUAGGCUCUGUGGUUUAACCCACAGCGCCACUCACGUAUGGUAGAAAAUUAAAUAAGGCACACCGAAAUGCAUGUUUGGAUUAAAGAUGUGUUCUGGUUCUGAAGAAGUUGAAGACUACUGCUCUAUAUAGUCUCACACUACAGUCUUGGCAAGGGUGGGGUAGGCAACGUUCCAUUUAUGCUUACCAUAAUUCAUAAAGCAAAACUUACAGCAGGAGAAAAGAGCACUUUAUUGUCUUGAGGUUGGCAGAUCACCCAACGUCUCCUCCCAAUUUAACAAGCGUUAAGCUUCAGUGAGACGCAAGAUACAUCAAGGGGAAAAAUAUAGCCGUGAGGCUAAUGAUGACAACAGCUGCCUGCAAACUUUCCACUGGAAGCAUGUAAAGACUUGAAACAAAUCUUAGCUCAAUUUUUGUUUUAGCAGCACCAGCAACAUGUCUGUGCUGGCAGAAACUCAUAGUGCAUUCCUUAACACUAGGGACUCUAGGCUUGCAUUUGAGAAUUAUUAAAUUCACUUGCAGCUGUGUGGUAGUAAAGGAGUGUUAAAUUCAUUUAUAUGUAUAAGAGAUUCAAAAUAAAUUUGCAUAAGUUUUCUUCUGAUUGCCAAGGUGAGAGUCAGGGGAGGGGCAAGGAGUUAUGCAACCUAGAGAACCAUACUCCUGUGCACUAGAACACUUGCAUAGCCCCCUCCCUAGCACCUGAGACUUAAACCAUAAUUGUCCAUUUUCAGAUGCUGUUUUUGUUUUGUAUGCUUUUGAAAAAAUCAGAGCUUAGAUCUCAAAGAUGCUGAAUUAUGCCCUCAGUGCUAAUUUCCAGGAGGUGCUUUAUCUGUAAUAGGGUGAUAAUUUGUCAGGAGGCGGGAGAGGUGAUGAUUUUUGUUGGGAUCAGUCCAAAUUUUACUGCUUCUUGGGGGGGGGGCGGGGAAAAUAUUAUUUACUUAAGAAGAUCAAUGUAAAUAACAAAGCCAACAACACUUAACAAAAUUUAGGAACACAAACAACAACUUGUUUUUCAGGAAAAAAGGUGCCUAGGUGACAGAUCCUCCCCCAGUCAAAGCAGAUCACAGAUACUCAAUGCAAAAGAAAUAAUGCAGAUGGAAAAUCAUAUUACUAUUAUGUCUUCCAUACCUCUAAAGACACUGCUGGUAACUGUUGCUGUAUGUUACUCCUAUGAGCCUAAACAAUAAAGUUCCACUAAAUUGUGUAAAAGGUUGGGUCUCUCUACUUCCCUUGCAGGAUUCUCAGCUGGUGCGUCAUUCUCAUCAAAGAUAGCAAUGUUUCGGGUAUUUCCAUACCAUACAGAAAGUUUGAAUAAUUGAUAGGUUCAUGGCAUGAAAUCAUGCUCAAAUAAUUCAUCCUCAAAUAAAGACAAACUAUGUAUCGCUUUUCCAUCUCUCUCUCUCUGUAUCCCAUAUUUUUAAAUCCCUCAAAAAGAUAUGUCAGUCAAAAAUGAAAAUCGACUGGCUUACAAGUGAAAUGUGCAAGACUCCAAAGGGAAGGGUAGUGGAGGGCAAAGGUACACAAGAGAUUUCAGGCAGACCUGGCCUGAACAAAGUGGUACCUCCAAAAACCUGCAUAUGAGCAGAGUGAAAAUUGAGGAAAACACUGCUGAGGAAGGACCUGUCUGUGAGAAGAGUAAAUGAAGACAACUCUGGUGGUAAGAUGAUUCUGGCACACUAUUGAUACGAUGCAGAGUCACUUAGAAUAAGACUGUCUAUGCAUUAUAACUUCAAAGUAGUUUUCCUCCCUCAAAGAAUUCUGGGCACUGUGGUUUGCUAAAGGUUUCUGAGAACUGCAGUUCUGAAAGGAGAAAACUACAAUGCCCAAAAUUCUUUGAGAGGAGAAAAUGUGACCUGAGCCUGUAGAUAUUUGGGUUUGUGCUGGGAAAUUUGAGCUACUUACUUGAAGCCUCAGUUCCAUCUGUAAAAUGGGAAUUAGGGAACAGUCUUAUGAGAGUGAACAUGAUGCGGACUGUGAUGCACAAUUAAAGUAAAUCAAAGUACAACUUCGUAAUUAAAUGUGAUUUUUAAUUCUCAAUAUUAGUAAAAGUAUGUUUUAGCAUCAAUUCAGACAGAUCUGCAUGACGAAUAGUUAUUAUUUCCAGAUAGGACCUGAUCAAAUCUGCUUUGUGGAGAUUUUGUACUUGGGUAAGAAGUGUGAGGUUGAGUUCAGUGUUUCCUUGUGCCACUGUAGAAGACAUGUGACCAUUGUACUUAUUCAAACAGGUUCAAACUUCUUCAUGCUGAGUAGGAAGAAGUGAGGCAUGGAAAGGCACAUGUACAAGAAAACAUGCCUGCACUCACUGUACUUACUUGCUGGGUUACUUGUGGCCACUGUGUAAAUCCAGGAAUAAAAGAAUUGGAAAUACCAGAUCCUCCAGCUGUCCUUAUUUUCCAGGGACAGUCCCGGAUUUACAGAAGCCACCCCAGUUUCUGAUUUGAUCCUGGAAUGUCCUGCUUUUCCUUAGGACGUCCUGCUUUUCAUCAGAGAAAUGUUGAAGGGGGAUGGAACAGGAUGUCCCUAAUUUCAUUGGAAGGUAUGGAAUUAGCAUCAGCAGAAACAAAACAUAGCUCUUAGGAGUACCUAUAUGUUGAUACAGCAUAUUGCAAAGGCCACUGUACAACUUAAAAGAUGUAUUUUUGCUGACCAAACUAAACAUAUAACUUGGGGGUGUUAUAAAAUCAUAUUGGGUGUGUGUGUUGCAGGACACCAUUACUAAUGAACAGAGAGGGGUGACCGAAUCUGACAGCUGCAGUUACCCAGAAUCCCUCGCAACACAACCUUCUUCGCCUCUGCUCCACUCCAGAGACUCGCACCCCUCCCGCUCGGAUGCAACCCUGCCCUAAGGAUCAGCAUAUGCAAACAUCUCCCAACGAUGCCAUAAACUCACACAUUUCCCCCCUCCACCUCCCCUCCGUCCAGAACAAAACAAUGUUUCCAGAAGAAGGAGGGGGGAAAGCCGCCCAAAUCCAAAGCGACACUUUUCUACUCAAGUUAAUAAUACAGCCUAUUAUAUGUUCUCUUACCAUGAACCCUGCCUUUAUUAUAUGUCCUCUUAUUAUGAAAUCCUUAUGCGUAUCCCUAAUGUACCCUUUAUACGUUUCCCUCAUUAUGUGCCUCUUAACGUUUCUAGGAAAUCUAUCCGCUGCCUCUGUAUUAGAAUUGCUGUCUUAUUCAUGACGUAUGCUAGGAUCUCUUUGUAUUAGAAUUGCUGUUUUAUGUCUCAGAACCUUUAUAUAUCAGGACUACUACCUUUUGCAUAGAAUUCUAUGUAUUAGAUAUGUCUCCUGUAAAAGGAAAUGCUGCAUAACCUGUGCAUGACCCCAGGCCACCUGAACCUUGCCCCAUCUCCGUCCUGAUUCAAAAGACACACAUAGACAAAGAUAGAUUAACUGGGACAGUUUAUUCAAACCUCCAGAAGUGUCACCUUUUACAUAAUCCCAGGGAUCAUCCUUGCAUGACCUGGGGGAAAACACCUGCCGGAUGGACCCCAACCCCUUGGCAAUCGCCAGGAACAGCCCCACCUCAACUCCCAUCUAGACUGAUCAAACAAAGGGAAACCCAUCAACAACGGGAGGAGAGCGAUGAAGAAAUAGUCGUCUCUGCACCCAGUUAAUCCCAUCACCACCCAUCCUCCUUGUCCUUCCCCUCCCUCCCAGUAAAGGGAUUUUCAUGUGGGGACAGGAGGGUAUAAGGGGGAGGUUCACCAUUUCCCGGGGUCCUUCCUGCAUUCUUUGAGGCAGGGAUCCUACAGCUGUAGUUCUUUCUUUCUGUAAUAAAAGGAUCAGUUUGUUUUUCCUGACA